ACACCUUACUGCUGUGGAGAUACAGUGAUCAUGAAGGUGGUUUUCCCAGGGCGAGGCUUAUCCAUUGCACUCCAGAUGUGCUGACCCCUGCGAUUUCCCCAAAUGUGGGAAACUCGACUGCCAUAAUUUGUGGUAGUGUGUGUGUGUAAAUUAUAUUUAUGUG